rnacentral:rRNA from 1 species
CACUCCUGCGGGAGGCAGCAGUGGGGAAUAUUGGACAAUGGGCGCAAGCCUGAUCCAGCCAUGCCGCGUGAGUGAUGAAGGCCCUAGGGUUGUAAAGCUCUUUCACCGGUGAAGAUAAUGACGGUAACCGGAGAAGAAGCCCCGGCUAACUUCGUGCCAGCAGCCGCGGUAAUACGAAGGGGGCUAGCGUUGUUCGGAUUUACUGGGCGUAAAGCGCACGUAGGCGGACUAUUAAGUCAGGGGUGAAAUCCCGGGGCUCAACCCCGGAACUGCCUUUGAUACUGGUAGUCUUGAGUUCGAGAGAGGUGAGUGGAAUUCCGAGUGUAGAGGUGAAAUUCGUAGAUAUUCGGAGGAACACCAGUGGCGAAGGCGGCUCACUGGCUCGAUACUGACGCUGAGGUGCGAAAGCGUGGGGAGCAAACAGGAUUAGAAACCCCAGUAGUCCCAUGA